rnacentral:rRNA from 1 species
UCUAGAGGCUUCGGCAAUGGGGGCAACCCUGACCGAGCGACGCCGCGUGCGGGAUUGAAGGCCUUCGGGUCGUAAACCGCUGUCAGAGGGGAAGAGUGCCCGCCUGGUGAAGGCGGGAGGGACGGUACCCUCAGAGGAAGCCCCGGCUAACUCCGUGCCAGCAGCCGCGGUAAUACGGAGGGGGCAAGCGUUGUUCGGAUUUACUGGGCGUAAAGGGUGUGUAGGCGGCCGCGCAAGUCUGGUGUGAAAUCUUCACCGCUCAACGGGAAGAGGUCACGGGAAACUGCGCGGCUCGAGGAUGGUAGAGGCAAGCGGAAUUCCUGGUGUAGCGGUGGAAUGUGUAGAUAUCAGGAAGAACACCGGUGGCGAAGGCGGCUUGCUGGGCCAUUACUGACGCUGAGACACGAAAGCGUGGGGAGCAAACG